CCUCUCUCUCCGGUGUUGAGGCUGAGAUGGCCGCUCCUCUCGGGGUCCCAGGCCUAUCUUCGGAUCGAUUCGCCCUCCCCUGCUUUGCUUCCCUCGCGCAGGCGAGAUCGCUGGUACUGGACGCCCUUGUCGAGAUCAAGCCCGGGGAGAUCGGGAUCGUUUCCGGUGUCCCUCAAGAACAUCUCAACAUCUCCGACGCAGGGUCACAAUACAUUCUCCCGUUCAGACUGCAGCUUUGCAAAUUUCUGGAGUUGGAAAGUGGAAAUUGAGUUUUGUAUCAACACAAAUCAACUCAAAACCGGACUAAAUUCGAUCAGAGGUAAAUUGAUUAAAGCGGGAGGAAUCAGAUGGUGAGUCAGAGUUGAACAUAUCAGAAUAUUGGACAUCGGGCCGGAAGAUCAGUCGAUAUGUCAACAGAAGGUUUUGAUUCGUAAAUUCGAUCAUCGGGCCAGGAAGAUCGGACAUUGCGCUAAGGAGAUCGGAUGUUGCGAGAAGACAACAUGCUGAUAGGGUAAUACGCUGAAAGAGAUGGACGAUGCGUCAAAGGAUCAGACGAAGCGUCGGAAGAACCAAUGACAUGUCGGAUAAUAUAGGAUUCGAUUGUAAUCGAUUAUGUGUAGAUCGAGUUAGUUUAGAGUUUAAUUGAGUCGGUUUAGAAUAUAAUUAGGUCAACUGGGCCCAAAGUGGGAUUGUUUUGGGAAGAAAACAAUACAUUCAAUGAUCCAAAAAUUGGGUUAGGCGAUGACACCAUCGGUCCAAGCGGUGACACCACCAGUGGCUCAGUAUAUAAGACACGGUCUUCAAGACUAUGUCAGGCGGUAGUACUACUCUCUCCCAAACUGUGUUAGGUGAUGGUACCAUCCAAUGUGUAGGCAAUGGUACCAUCAGUACCAAAAAAAAUCGGGAUGAGAUACUUUUUAGCUAUUCACUUUAAUACAUAAUUUAGAUUCUGAUUUAGGUUAUCUUUAAUAACAGCAUUAGCUAGUAGGGUUAGAAAUUGUAUUAAUGGCAGUCUGAUGGACCGUAAGUCAAUUAAGAUUAAUGAUGUAAGG